rnacentral:lncRNA from 1 species
CCAUGCUUCGUCCACUGUGGAGACAUGUUGGGUACCGUGUCUGCCUACAGAAAAGACUGAGCCCUAGAGAGCAGAGCCCCCACCAGGCCUGAGCAAGCCAGCAGUGUGGAGAAAGGGCAGCCUUCUACCUUCACACAGAACAUCCACUGUGUCCCCUUGGCGGAAGUCCAAGUCCUCCGGCCUUUGGGCACGAUAGUCGUACUGAGCUACCACUUGGUAGAGGACUGGCCGGCCCCAGGCCCCCUGUAAUAGAAGAGUGGGCUGCAGGGGCAGUGCACUCGAGGGGCUUCCCUUCCAACUGCCUGGGCUGCCCACAGCAGGCACCAGUCUCUCCCCUUGGCUCACCCGGCACUGGAGCUGCAAGCCUCUUGGGCUCACUGGCACAUUCCUCCAUACACUCUGCAGUGAGUCCUCCGUGGAGAUGGGGACCCAGGCUCUGUCCUCUCCUCGGGCUUUGUAGCUGCACAGAGGGUCCUGAGGGUGAGCUACAGUGUGCAGGGGGAGUACCUAGUGCCUGGUCUGUCCCUAAAGGAAAUUAAUUUCUGGGGCUCUCCACUGUUCCCGGCUGGCCUUUACUUCCAGGCUGCCCAGAUUCUUAACAUAGAGCUAAGGAGGCCUUAGCUUUCGUCCCAUCCUGAGUCUGAAAAGUGACUGCUUCAGAGCAAAACAAUAAUAAAAAGCCUUCUCUCCAGUUCAGAA